rnacentral:rRNA from 1 species
GAUGAACGCUGGCGGCGUGCCUAAUACAUGCAAGUCGAGCGAACAGACGAGGAGCUUGCUCCUCUGACUUUAGCGGCGGACGGGUGAGUAACACGUGGAUAACCUACCUAUAAGACUGGGAUAAUUUUGGGAAACCGGAUCUAAUACCGGAUAAUUUAUUGAACCGCAUGGUUCAAUAGUGAAAUACGGUUUUGCUUUCACUUAUAGAUGGAUCCGCGCCGCAUUAGCUAGUUGGCAAGGUAACGGCUUACCAAGGCAACGAUGCGUAGCCGACCUGAGAGGGUGAUCGGCCACACUGGAACUGAGACACGGUCCAGACUCCUGCGGGAGGCAGCAGUAGGGAAUCUUCCGCAAUGGGCGAAAGCCUGACGGAGCAACGCCGCGUGAGUGAUGAAGGUCUUCGGAUCGUAAAACUCUGUUAUUAGGGAAGAACAAAUGUGUAAGUAACUAUGCACGUCUUGACGGUACCUAAUCAGAAAGCCACGGCUAACUACGUG